CAUUGAUAAAGGCAUACUUAUCGAAAGAUAAGGACGCAAAGCCACGGGUCUAAGGCAUAAGCUAUGACAGCCGGGUUGCCAAU
rnacentral:ncRNA from 1 species